rnacentral:rRNA from 1 species
UUAGCAUAUCAAUAAGCGGAGGAAAAGAAACCAACAGGGAUUGCCCUAGUAACGGCGAGUGAAGCGGCAACAGCUCAAAUUUGAAAUCUGGCUCUUUCAGAGUCCGAGUUGUAAUUUGCAGAGGGCGCUUUGGCUUUGGCAGCGGUCCAAGUUCCUUGGAACAGGACGUCACAGAGGGUGAGAAUCCCGUACGUGGUCGCUAGCUAUUGCCGUGUAAAGCCCCUUCGACGAGUCGAGUUGUUUGGGAAUGCAGCUCUAAAUGGGAGGUAAAUUUCUUCUAAAGCUAAAUAUUGGCCAGAGACCGAUAGCGCACAAGUAGAGUGAUCGAAAGAUGAAAAGCACUUUGGAAAGAGAGUCAAACAGCACGUGAAAUUGUUGAAAGGGAAGCGCUUGCAGCCAGACUUGCUUGCAGUUGCUCAUCCGGGCUUUUGCCCGGUGCACUCUUCUGUAGGCAGGCCAGCAUCAGUUUGGGCGGUGGGAUAAAGGUCUCUGUCACGUACCUCUCUUCGGGGAGGCCUUAUAGGGGAGACGACAUACCACCAGCCUAGACUGAGGUCCGCGCAUCUGCUAGGAUGCUGGCGUAAUGGCUGUAAGCGGCCCGUCUUGAAACACGGACCAAGGAGUCUAACAUCUAUGCGAGUGUUUGGGUGUCAAGCCCGAGCGCGUAAUGAAAGUGAACGGAGGUGGGAACCCGCAAGGGUGCACCAUCGACCGAUCCUGAAGUUUACGGAAGGAUUUGAGUAAGAGCAUGGCUGUUGGGACCCGAAAGAUGGUGAACUAUGCUUGAAUAGGGUGAAGCCAGAGGAAACUCUGGUGGAGGCUCGCAGCGGUUCUGACGUGCAAAUCGAUCGUCAAAUUUGGGCAUAGGGGCGAAAGACUAAUCGAACUAUCUAGUAGCUGGUUCC